AAAGAGAUUUUAUUUGGAUGUGAGAUACGGACAGAGGAUGUCGUGUGACUCGUAGUGAAUUGGUUAUGGUGGUUAGGUGGUAUUGUAGUGUAGAGGAAAUAGGCUAGUGAGUGCUGAUGUGAUUGUUGUAAUGUUAAUAUUGUGAUGUUAAUGUUGUGAUGGUAAUGUUGUGAUAAUAUAUGUUUAUGAUUUGGUUAUUAUUGUUGUUAAUAUAAUUGUAUGUUGUAUGAUAAGAUAAUUCUGGUUGCUCACCCUGAAAGUUGUGGUUGUGGUUUCCACCUACGAUGAUCGUACUUCUACGGAAGUAGAUGGUUUGCAGAUAAGAUCGGAUUUGAGUAGCUGACGAGAGUUGGGAUGUUAUGUUCGGGGAUUUACUAUUUAUUUUAUAUUACUUGAAAGUAUUUCCAUUUGGUAUUUUUAUGUAAAAGUGAUAUUUUGAGAUUUCUAAACAAUAUUUAUGGUUAUGUUUAGCUUCCACAUUUUUAAUCGAAUAAGAUUGUUAUCUUUCUUAGGUGUUUUAUAGAAAGGAUUUGAAAAAUAUUGCACCACGACAUCUCGAAAAAUCGGGAUGUACACUCUGAACAUCUCAACCAACCCAAACUUCUCUGAUCAUUCUCGAUACCCUCUUUCACAACGUAUACUGUAACCACCCUUUGCAAUUUGUUCUAAAACCUUUCUUCUCCUUUCCUCAUCCAUUGUGCUCUUAAUUCUCUAACCUUAUACUUUCCUACCAAACUAACAUUGUGAUGUACUCCUUCCUUUAACACUUGAAAUCUCUCAUCUCAGGCAAUGAUCAAACCUUUCUUCUACACGAACCACUGAUCUUGAAACAUCCUUCUAAACUUGACUAUACAAUAUCCACUUUUCUUACUCAAAUAUCAAACCUUGCCACUCUAAUGCUUAUCCAAAAUUCCUCUUAUUUUAGCCUUUUGAACUCAACUCUUCUUUUGAAAGGUACAAUAUCUGAUCUUCUGACUUUUUCCUUGAAAACUCCUUCAUCCAAAACAUUACUUAUAAAUUCCAAUAUCUCCACACAUCCCUUGAAACCUAAACUCUGGUCCUAUAACCCCUUAUCUUCGA
rnacentral:lncRNA from 1 species